AUUCUACUCCCUCAGUAACACAAUACAUGCCUUCUAUUUGUCAAAAUAUAGAUGUAUCUAGACAUGUUUUAGUAUAUAGGUACAUCCAUUUUUGGACAAAUGGAAGUCAAGUAUUUUGGAACGAAGGGAGUACACA
rfam:Triticum aestivum genome assembly, contig: Triticum_aestivum_CS42_TGACv1_scaffold_033136_1BL